rnacentral:sRNA from 1 species
UUAUAGCCCCGAUUGAAACGGCAUCCUUUUUUGUUAUUGCGAUUGCAAAAAUCUCCUUAGGGAUUGCUUCACUUUUUUCGCAAUGACAAAAAAGAUACAGUGAAAAGCGGGUACAAUU